AUACAUGCAAGUGGGACGCAAGGGAACACACUGUGCUUGCACACCGUGUUUUCUUGAGUCGCGAACGGGUGAGUAACGCGUAGGUAACCUGCCUAUUAGCGGGGGAUAACUAUUGGAAACGAUAGCUAAUACCGCAUAAUAUUAAUUAUUGCAUGAUAAUUGAUUGAAAGAUGCAAGCGCAUCACUAGUAGAUGGACCUGCGUUGUAUUAGCUAGUUGGUAAGGUAAGAGCUUACCAAGGCGACGAUACAUAGCCGACCUGAGAGGGUGAUCGGCCACACUGGGACUGAGACACGGCCCAGACUCCUACGGGAGGCAGCAGUAGGGAAUCUUCGGCAAUGGACGAAAGUCUGACCGAGCAACGCCGCGUGAGUGAAGAAGGUUUUCGGAUCGUAAAGCUCUGUUGUAAGUCAAGAACGUGUGUGAGAGUGGAAAGUUCACACAGUGACGGUAGCUUACCAGAAAGGGACGGCUAACUACGUGCCAGCAGCCGCGGUAAUACGUAGGUCCCGAGCGUUGUCCGGAUUUAUUGGGCGUAAAGGGAGCGCAGGCGGUCAGGAAAGUCUGGAGUAAAAGGCUAUGGCUCAACCAUAGUGUGCUCUGGAAACUGUCUGACUUGAGUGCAGAAGGGGAGAGUGGAAUUCCAUGUGUAGCGGUGAAAUGCGUAGAUAUAUGGAGGAACACCAGUGGCGAAAGCGGCUCUCUGGUCUGUCACUGACGCUGAGGCUCGAAAGCGUGGGUAGCGAACAGGAUUAGAUACCCUGGUAGUCCACGCCGUAAACGAUGAGUGCUAGGUGUUAGGCCCUUUCCGGGGCUUAGUGCCGGAGCUAACGCAAUAAGCACUCCGCCUGGGGAGUACGACCGCAAGUUGAAACUCAAAGGAAUUGACGGGGGCCCGCACAAGCGUGAGCA
rnacentral:rRNA from 1 species